rnacentral:rRNA from 1 species
UACGGAGGGUGCAAGCGUUAUCCGGAUUCACUGGGCUUAAAGGGUGCGUAGGUGGGUAAGUAAGUCAGUGGUGAAAUCUCCGGGCUUAACCCGGAAACUGCCAUUGAUACUAUUUGUCUUGAAUACUGUGGAGGUCAGCGGAAUAUGUCAUGUAGCGGUGAAAUGCUUAGAUAUGACAUAGAACACCAAUUGCGAAGGCAGCUGGCUACACAAAUAUUGACACUGAGGCACGAAAGCGUGGGGAGCAAACAGG